UGACAUAAAGUAGGAUGCUUUAUUAUUAUUCUUUUAAAUUGUUUCAUAAUAGGUCAGUUUGGUUUGCCAAAAGUUGAAAUCUCUAAAGAACAACUGAAGCUAUUAAUUUCACAAGGAUACACAGGGAAAAGAAUUGCAGAACACAUAGGAUGUUCUGCAUCUUAUAUUUAUAAACGCCUGAAAACUGAGGGUCUGUCACCAAGACAGAAAUUCAGCAGUAUAGCAGAUAAUGAACUGGAUGAAGAAUGCAAAAGACUACAAGCAAGUUGUCCAAAUGCCGGUUCUGAGAUGAUGUCAGGAAUGCUAAGAGCAAGGGGAAUACAUGUGCAAAGGGACAGACUUCGACGCACAUUGGCUAGACUUGACCCAGUUGGCACUGCUCAGAGAUGGUCACAAACUGUUCAAAGAAGGUCAUACCAUGCCGUCUCACCUAACAGUAUAUGGCACAUUGACAGUCACAUGAAGCUUAUAAGGUGGGGCUUUGUUGUACAUGGUGCUAUCGAUGGCUUUUCCCAUCUAAUACCUUAUUUAAGUUGUGCUACAAAUAAUUCUUCAUCCACGGUGCUACAGACUUUCUGCAGGGGUGCUCUACAGUAUGGAUUACCAUUAAGAGUGAGGUCUGACCAAGGCACAGAAAAUGUUCAGGUAGCACUGCUUAUGAAUGCCAUCAGAGGAUUACACCGUGGCAGCCAUAUAACUGGACUUUCUGUCCACAACCAGAGAAUUGAAAGGCUAUGGAGAGAUGUAUUUCAACAGGUUCUCUUCCCCAUCUACAAAGAAUUUUAUGAAAUGGAAGAUAAUGGAAUACUUGAAGAAGGCAACAGUUUACACAAAGGAUGUCUACAAUAUGUUUACUACUCAACAAUUAAUCAAAGAUUGGAAAUGUUCAGAGAAGGCUGGAAUAAACAUAGAAUUAGAACUGAACACAACAGAACACCGGAACAAAUAUGGUUUGAUAGCUUGUCCACUAUAUCUCACCAAACAAGUCUGUCUGACAUGAAUACACAACAGUUUAGAGAGAGUUUAAUAGAACAUUUACAAAGAAUAGGUGCA